GAGUGGCGCACGGGUGAGUAACGCGUGGGGAUCUGCCUCGAAGUGGGGAAUAACCGCUGGAAACGGCGGCUAAUACCGCAUACGCCCUCAGGGGGAAAGCUUUAUGCGCUUCGAGAUGAACCCGCGUCGGAUUAGCUAGUUGGUGAGGUAAAGGCUCACCAAGGCGACGAUCCGUAGCUGGUCUGAGAGGAUGAUCAGCCACACUGGGACUGAGACACGGCCCAGACUCC
rnacentral:rRNA from 1 species